GGCUGUGUCAGCGGCGUUCAGCGGCCGAGCGAGCGAGGGAGCCGGCCGCGGUUGUGACGAGGUCACCCCUGUGAUUGAUUGGAUGUAAUUUCUUUUAUUGCCUAUUCUGGAACAACAGCUUGAUGCUUCAGGACCUUCCUUCAAAGAUCAUUGUGCAAGGGACAAAAAAAGCUAUGUAGCAUCAACAGCAAACAGAACAAUGCAGAAGUCCACAGCAAUUUAUUACCAUGACUAGCAGAUGCUCUAGUACAGAAAGCAUAGAAAAGCUGGAAAAACAAUGAAUACACACUAACUACAGAUCCCACAAAAUCAAAUAGGAUAUCUACCUGUAAAGGCUUAAAAUUAAAGCCAUAGUGCUAAAGAUCAUCA